rnacentral:rRNA from 1 species
CCUACGGGUGGCAGCAGUGGGGAAUAUUGGUCAAUGGCCGAAAGCCUGAACCAGCCACGCCGCGUGAAGGACGAAGGUGCCACGCAUUGUAAACUUCUUUUGUCAAGGGACAAACUCCGGCUCGCGCGCCUGACCGAGUGUACUUUAAGGACACGCAUCGGCUAGCUCCGUGCCAGCAGCCGCGGUAAUCCGGAGGAUGCGGGCGUUAUCCGGAUUUAUUGGGGUUAAAGGGUGCGUAGGCGGGCUGUUAAGUCAGCGGUAAAAGCCCGGGGCUAAACCCCGGCGCGCCGUUGAAACUGGCUGUCUGGAGAGGGCGAGAGGUAGGCGGAAUGCGCAGUGUAGCGGUGAAAUGCUUAGAUAUUGCGCAGAACUCCGAUUGCGAAGGCAGCAUACCGGAGGCGAUCUGACGCUGAGGCACGAAAGCGUGGGUAGCGAACAGGAUUAGAUACCCGAGUAGUC